UACGUAGGGGGCAAGCGUUGUCCGGAAUCAUUGGGCGUAAAGCGCGUGUAGGCGGCUGACUAAGUCCGCUCUGAAAGCCCGGGGCUCAACCCCGGGAGGCGGGUGGAUACUGGUCAGCUCGAGUCCGGAAGAGGAGUGUGGAAUUCCUGGUGUAGCGGUGAAAUGCGCAGAUAUCAGGAGGAACACCAAUGGCGAAGGCAGCACUCUGGGACGGUACUGACGCUGAGACGCGAAAGCGUGGGGAUCAAACAGG
rnacentral:rRNA from 1 species